rnacentral:tRNA from 1 species
GGGUCUUGGGUGUAAUUGGAAGCACAGACGGCUCCAACCCGUCCGGUGUGGGUUCGAGUCCUACAAGGCCUG